UCCCAUUGUCGGAGAAGCUCAGACACUGACGAAGUCCGAACGAAGUUUGGAGUAGAGUCAUCCGUGGCCGAAAGAAGUUUGGAAGAGAUUCGGAGAAUAGUCGAUCACCGUAGAAAAUUGGCUGAUAGCGGAGUUCAGAGGGCGUUUGGAGUAGUCUGGUAGAUGAAUGAGGAAGCUCGUUGUCAGAGAAGUUCGGAUGGUAUAAUGGAAGCUCGGAUGGUUGAGAGAGUUCAGAAAGAUGCCAUACAAG
rnacentral:lncRNA from 1 species